GUAGGGAAUAUUGCACAAUGGGGGAAACCCUGAUGCAGCGACGCCGCGUGAGUGAUGAAGGCCUUCGGGUCGUAAAGCUCUGUCGUAUGGGACUAACACAAUGAAGGUACCAUGCAAGAAAGGAUCGGCUAACUUCGUGCCAGCAGCCGCGGUAAGACGAGGGAUCCUAGCGUUGUUCGGAAUCAUUGGGCGUAAAGCGGGUGUAGGCGGAUUUAUAAGUCAGGUGUGACAUCCCAGGGCUCAACCCUGGAAGUGCACUUGAUACUGUAAAUCUUGAGUGUGGUAGAGGUUACUGGAAUUGUUAGUGUAGUGGUGAAAUACGUAGAUAUCAACAGGAAUACCGGAGGCGAAGGCGAGUAACUGGGCCAACAAUGACGCGGAGACCCGAAAGCGUGGGGAUCAAACAGGAUUAGAUACCCUGGUAGUCC
rnacentral:rRNA from 1 species